rnacentral:lncRNA from 1 species
CAUAUUCUACUUAGAUGUGAAUUUUGUGUUCUUGAUGACAUGUAAUUACUGUCAAAUUAUUGAUUUUGUGGAUACCAACUUUUGGAAUGUAGGAAAAGUUGAAUUUUCGUAGAUAUUUGAUUUCGUGGUUCUACAAAAGUCUGCCUACUUACUGUAUCUAUAGAUAAUUUGUACUUCCUUGAACAUUUAUAUUGUUGUUUCAUGUAUACCUAUGAAAUCAACAAAAAAUUGGUACACCAAGAAUAAACAUGAAUCUACAGGACAGAGAUAUUCAAUUAUACUUUACCGGUACUUAGGAAAUGUGUUACUUCUCUAAAUUUCAUGCUUUUUUUCACAUUUCUUAAUCGAUGCAAGAAAAUCUUUAUAACCUGUAUAGAAAUCUUUGUUCUUGGGAAAUGAUUGGUUAAAAUUUAAUUAUGAAGGCA